AGAACGAACGCUGGCGGCAUGCCUAAUACAUGCAAGUCGAACGAACUCCUCGGAGUUAGUGGCGCACGGGUGCGUAACGCGUGGGAAUCUGCCCCUUGGUUCGGAAUAACAGUUGGAAACGACUGCUAAUACCGGAUGAUGACGAAAGUCCAAAGAUUUAUCGCCAAGGGAUGAGCCCGCGUAGGAUUAGCUAGUUGGUGAGGUAAAGGCUCACCAAGGCAACGAUCCUUAGCUGGUCUGAGAGGAUGAUCAGCCACACUGGGACUGAGACACGGCCCAGACUCCUAGGGAGCAGCAGUAGGAAUAUGACAAUGGGCGAAAGCCUGAUCCAGCAAUGCCGCGUGAGUGAGUGAAGGUCCUUAGGUUAGUAAAGCUUCUUUACCCGAGAGUAGAUUAAUGACGAGUAUACGGAAGAA
rnacentral:rRNA from 1 species